UACGUAGGUGGCAAGCGUUGUCCGGAUUUACUGGGCGUAAAGAGCGCGCAGGCGGUCGGAUCAGUCGAAUGUGAAAGCCCCCGGCUCAACUGGGGAGGGUCAUUCGAUACUGUCCGACUCGAAGGCAGGAGAGGGAAGCGGAAUUCCCGGUGUAGUGGUGAAAUGCGUAGAUAUCGGGAGGAACACCAGUGGCGAAGGCGGGUUGCUGGGCUGACACUGACGCUGAGGCGCGAAAGCUAGGGGAGCGAACGGG
rnacentral:rRNA from 1 species